rnacentral:rRNA from 1 species
ACUCAAAGGAAUUGACGGGGGCCCGCACAAGCGGCGGAGCAUGUUGCUUAAUUCGAGGCAACGCGAAGAACCUUACCUGGGUUUGACAUGCAGGGAAAAGCCGCAGAGAUGCGGUGUCCGCAAGGGCCCUGCACAGGUGGUGCAUGGCUGUCGUCAGCUCGUGUCGUGAGAUGUUGGGUUAAGUCCCGCAACGAGCGCAACCCUUGUCCUAUGUUGCCAGCGGGUAAUGCCGGGGACUCGUAGGAGACUGCCGGGGUCAACUCGGAGGAAGGUGGGGACGACGUCAAGUCAUCAUGCCCCUUACAUCCAGGGCUGCAAACAUGCUACAAUGGCCGGUACAAAGGGCUGCUAUCCCGCGAGGGUGAGCGAAUCCCAGAAAGCCGGUCUCAGUUCGGAUUGGAGUCUGCAACUCGACUCCAUGAAGCCGGAGUCGCUAGUAAUCCCGGAUCAGCAACGCCGGGGUGAAUACGUUCCCGGGCCUUGUACACACCGCCCGU